AUCCCCCACACUGGUACUUAGACACGGACCAGACUCCUACGGGAGGCAGCAGUGAGGAAUAUUGGUCAAUGGAGGCAACUCUGAACCAGCCAUGCCGCGUGCAGGAAGACUGCCCUAUGGGUUGUAAACUGCUUUUAUACGGGAAGAAACACCCCCUCGUGAGGGGGCUUGACGGUACCGUAAGAAUAAGGACCGGCUAACUCCGUGCCAGCAGCCGCGGUAAUACGGAGGGUCCGAGCGUUAUCCGGAAUCAUUGGGUUUAAAGGGUCCG
rnacentral:rRNA from 1 species